GCCCCAUUGGCCAAAUGGUUUAAGGCAUCCGCCUCCUAAGCGGAAGUCGGGUUCGAGUCCCGUGGGGGUG